rnacentral:lncRNA from 1 species
GAGACGUAAAAAAUUUCAAAUAAGCACUCACGAGUUGAAUGUUGGGUGGCGACAAAGAGUGGAAGUGCGAAGUUGAACUGCAACGAAGGAAGGUUUCGUGAAAAAGAAGAAAAAGAAGAAGAGAUGAUGAAGAUGAAGAAGAAGAAUAAGAAGAAAUGGCGAAGAAGAAGAAGAAAAAGAAUCUGAAAAUGACAAGGAUGAAAAAGAAGAAAUCGUGAAACAAAAGAAAAAGAAGAAACUACAGUGCUUUGAGUGAUCAUGAUCAGUGUGCAAUUUUCACGAAUAUUAAUCCUAGAUAGAAUUUUAAGCCUCAAUUAUUAAUGAAACCAAAGCAUAAAGGACAAUAGACUUCAGUUUUAAAAAUCGAGAUCUAAAACUUUGCCUUCAAUAAAAAUCUUGAAAUUUUGAUGAAACUUUAGGUCAUGGUUAUUCAAAAU